rnacentral:rRNA from 1 species
CCUACGGGUGGCAGCAGUGAGGAAUAUUGGUCAAUGGGAGAGAUCCUGAACCAGCCAAGCCGCGUGAGGGAAGAAGGCCCUAUGGGUUGUAAACCUCUUUUGUCGGAGAAAAAAACCCGGGACGUGUCCCGGACUGCGUGUAUCCGAAGAAAAAGCAUCGGCUAACUCCGUGCAAGCAGCCGCGGUAAUACGGAGGAUGCGAGCGUUAUCGGGAUUUAUUGGGGUUAAAGGGUGCGUAGGCGGUCCGUUAAGUCAGCGGUAAAAAUGCGGGGCUCAACCCCGUCGAGCCGUUGAAACUGGGAGUCUUGAGUAGGCGAGAGGUAGGCGGAAUGCGCGGUGUAGCGGUAAAAUGCGUAGAUAUCAAGAGGAACACCGAUUGCGAAGGCGACGUGCCGGAGCAAGACUGACGCUGAGGCGCGAAAGCGUGGGGAGCGAACAGGAUUAGAUACCCGAGUAGUC